GGAAAAGCUCAAAUUUUGAAUCUGGCGGUCUUCAGGCCGUCCGAGUUGUAAUCUAGAGAAGCGUCUUCCGCGCUGGACCGUGUAUAAGUUUCCUGGAAUGGAACGUCGUAGAGGGUGACAAUCCCGUCUUUGACNCGGACUCAGGGCUNUGUGAUGCGCUCUCGACGAGUCGAGUUGUUUGGGAAUGCAGCUCAAAUAGGGUGGUAAAUUCCAUCUAAAGCUAAAUACAGGCGAGAGACCGAUAGCGAACAAGUACCGNGANGGAAAGAUGAAAAGAACUUUGGAAAGAGAGUUAAACAGUACGUGAAAUUGCUGAAAGGGAAACGCUUGAUGUCAGUCGCGUCGGCCGGGGAUCAGUNNNGNUUUUUNUUCGCUAGACGUACUUCCUGGUCGACGGGUCAGCAUCGGUUUCGACCGUCGCAAAAUGGCUCGAGGAAAGUGGCACCUCUCGGGGUGUGUUAUAGACUCUUGUCGAAUACGACGAUCGGGACCGAGGAACUCAGCACGACCUUCGGGUU
rnacentral:rRNA from 1 species